rnacentral:rRNA from 1 species
CCCUUAGAUGUCCGGGGCCGCACGCGCGCUACACUGAAGGAAUCAGCGUGGCUUUCUCCCUGACCCGAAAGGGUUGGGAAACCCGUUGAAUCUCCUUCGUGAUAGGGAUUGGGGCUUGAAAUUGUUCCCCAUGAACGAGGAAUUCCCAGUAAGCGCAAGUCAUCAGCUUGCGUUGAUUACGUCCCUGCCCUUUGUACACACCGCCCGUCGCUACUACCGAUUGAAUGGUUUAGUGAGAUCCUUGGAUCGGCCCUGUCGCGGCUGGCAACGGCCGCGUCGGCGCGUCGAGAAGACGAUCAAACUUGAUCAUUUAGAGGAAGUAAAAGUCGUAACA